CGGAAUCUGCCUCGUUGGUGGGGAUAACGUAGGGAAACUUACGACUAAUACCGCAUACGACCGUACGGGUAGAAAGGUGGGGGACCUUCGGGCCUCACGCGAUGAGAUGAGCCGAUGCCGGAUUAGCUAGUUGGCGGGUAAAGGCCCACCAAGGCGACGAUCCGUAGCUGGUCUGAGAGGAUGAUCAGCCACACUGGAACUGAGACACGGCCCAGACUCCUACGGGAGGCAGCAGUGGGGAAUAUUGGACAAUGGGCGAAAGCCUGAUCCAGCAAUGCCGCGUGUGUGAAGAAGGCCUGCGGGUUGUAAAGCACUUUUACCAGGGAAGCAAAGCCAGGGACUAAUACUUCUUGGUGUUGACGGUACCUGGAGAAUAAGCACCGGCUAACUUCGUG
rnacentral:rRNA from 1 species